AGUAAUAAUAAUGUAGACUUUGUAAAUAGUUGGACUGCUUGGAGGGAAUUAUUUGUUUAGCAGAGUGAUGGUGAUUGAGAAAAAACUGUCCUUGUAUCUAGUUGUUCUGGUAUGCAGUGCUCUAUUGCAUCGUUUUGAGGAUAGAAGGUAAACUAGUUUAAGUCCAGGAUGUGAGGGGUCUGUAAAUAUUUUCACAGCCCUCUUUUUCACUCGUGCAGUAUACAA